rnacentral:rRNA from 1 species
GACGAACGCUGGCGGCGUGCUUAACACAUGCAAGUCGAACGGAAAGGCCCUGCUUUUGUGGGGUGCUCGAGUGGCGAACGGGUGAGUAACACGUGAGUAACCUGCCCUUGACUUUGGGAUAACUUCAGGAAACUGGGGCUAAUACCGGAUAGGAGCUCCUGCUGCAUGGUGGGGGUUGGAAAGUUUCGGCGGUUGGGGAUGGACUGGCGGCUUAUCAGCUUGUUGGUGGGGUAGUGGCUUACCAAGGCUUUGACGGGUAGCCGGCCUGCGCGGGUAACCGGCCACGAUGGGACUGGGAUGAGGCCCAGACCCCUACGGGAGGCAGCAGUGGGGAAUAUAGCACAAUGGGCGGAAGCCUGAUGCAGCAACGCCGCGUGCGGGAUGACGGCCUGCGGGUUGUAUACCACAGCCGCCUGUGACGAAGCGUGAGUGACGGUAAUGGGUAAAGAAGCACCGGCUAACUACGUG